rnacentral:ncRNA from 1 species
UACUUGGUUGAUCCUACCAAGGAAGCACACUUAGGUCAUAGAUUAAGCCAUGCAAGUGUUAGUUCAGGUAACGAAACUGCGAAUAGCUCAUUAAUACGCUCAGAAUCUAUUUGGCGGCGACCAACAGGUCUUAAAUGGAUAGCAGCAGCAACUCUGGUGCUAAUACAUGCGAUUGUUUCUCCAGAUGUGAAUUAUGGAGGAAAAGUUGACCUCAUCAGAGGCACGCCAUUCGACUGAGUGACCUAUCAGCUUGUACUUAGGGUCUUUACCUAGGUAGGCUAUCACGGGUAACGGGCGGUUACCGUCGGACUGCCGGAGAAGGCGCCUGAGAGAUAGCGACUAUAUCCACGGGUAGCAGCAGGCGCGAAACUUUCCCACUCGAGACUUUCGGAGGAGGUAAUGACCAGUUCCAUUGGUGCCUUUUGGUACUGUGGAUAGGGGUACGGUUUUCCACCGUACCGAAACCUAGCAGAGGGCCAGUCUGGUGCCAGCAGCUGCGGUAAUUCCAGCUCUGCGAGUUUGCUCCCAUAUUGUUGCAGUUAAAACGCCCGUAGUCUGAAUUGGCCAGCAAUGGUCGUACGUAUUUUUACGUUCACUGUGAACAAAUCAGGACGCUUAGA